GGGAGCAAUCCUGAGUAAAGUGGCGCACGGGUGAGUAACACGUUGGUACCUGCCCUUUAGUGGGGGAUAACACGGCGAAAGUCGUGCUAAUACCGCAUGUGAUCGCAAGAUCAAAGCAGCAACGCGCUAAAGGAGGGGCCUGCGUCUGAUUAGCUAGUUGGUAGGGUAAAAGCCUACCAAGGCAACGAUCAGUAGCUGGAUCGAGAGGUUGACCAGCCACACUGGGACUGAGAUACGGCCCAGACUCCUACGGGA
rnacentral:rRNA from 1 species